rfam:Myotis davidii contig13788, whole genome shotgun sequence.
GGGCAGGCUCUGUUUACUUAGCCCAGCGGUUCCUUCGAGCCCAGCCUUCAUGUGCCAACCAGUCUUGCUCGCGAGGAUGGUUCGAGACCAGCAGGCGCCCUCCAGUCCUUUA